rnacentral:misc_RNA from 1 species
CGAGGAUACAAAGUUAGAAACGACAGCCAGCACAUAGUAUUUAUCUUCCAACUUCAAUCCCAUCCGUCCGAUCAGUAUCUGAUCUAACGGGACACAUUCCUCCACGCUUCUACUUCAUUGUCUUUUGAUUCACUCAAUUCGUCAUGGCUCGCAUAUCUCCACGAUUACACUCUCUUGCCCGUACGAUCCAAAUGUAAUCCGACGGAUGAAAAUCUCUCUGCACUGCACACUUCUCUGUGCCGUUCUCCCACUUGAUAAUGAUAUCCCGCUCUUUUUCUCUGUCCAAAGGCCACAAAAAUUUCUUCCAUUUUUCUUCCCCUGUAAAGAAGAAAUGCAAGAACAAGCGACUAGUUCAAUCGCAGCCAAUUCUCUGCCGUCCAGCAGUGAGAGAUCUUCGAGUUCUGCUCUUCAACUUGAAUUCAAAGAAGGAAUGGAGAGCGACGAGGAAAUUAGAAGAGUGCCGGAAUUCGGCGGUGAACCGGCUGGAACUUCAGCCUCAGGUCGAGACGGCGGUUCAGUUGCGGGUGCAGAUCGAGCACAGGCUCCAGGGGAGGGUCAGAGUCAGAGAAAGAGAGGAAAGAGCCCAGCUGACAAAGAAAACAAGCGGUUAAAGAGGUAAGGCGUGUUAAUAUUACCGUUUUGCCCCUACCAAUCUAGCUGUUCCUACGUGGGGUAGCCAAGGCAUUUAGGUGUAAUGCACUAAUCUUAGCGAGGCAAAAAAUGAAAAUUAGGUUGCUGAGAAACAGAGUUUCAGCCCAACAAGCAAGGGAGAGGAAGAAAGCAUACUUGAAUGAGUUGGAAACCAGAGUCAAAGACUUGGAAAAGAAGAACUCUGAGCUUGAAGAGAGGCUUUCCACUUUGCAGAAUGAAAAUCAGAUGCUUAGACAUGUAUGUCAUAAUCCCAUCCAUACGUAUCACAUGCUUAUCAAUUUCACAACUUACCUCCCAGCUAUCAUUAUUAUAAAUUAAGUGAAUAAUAAUUAAUAAACUUGUACUAUUAGCACAUACCCUUUGCAAAUUAGGAAAGGGGAAGGGGUAAUAAAUAAUAAAUGGAUAAUGGAAGGCCAUGUGCUUUUCAUUGAUGGGUCUGUGGGUGAGCCCACAUCCGUAAGUUUGUACCUGCUUGGUAGCAGGAGCAUCUCUUUUUGAGAGAGGCCUCUUCUUGAUUUAGUAAUUGGGCUCCUAUUUCAAAUUCCACUAUGGGAAAAAAAGAAAAAAUCAAUCUUUUCUUUUCUUAAUAGACCUGUUUUCUGGACCCCAUCACAUUGUUGCAUUUUGGGUCCGCUGUUCACUGCCUGACACACUGAAACUUUAGGAUAAAUUUUAAGAGUUAUUCAUGAAAUUUAAGGGCUUAUAAUAGAAUAACUUUUGAACUUAAAAAUAUAAUAUAAAUUUUUUUAAAAUUUUACAAAAUAAAAU